AUUGAACGCUGGCGGCAAGCCUAACACAUGCAAGUCGAACGAGUGGCGGACGGGUGAGUAAUGUAUGGGAAACUGCCCGAUGGAGGGGGAUAACUACUGGAAACGGUAGCUAAUACCGCAUACCAUCGGAUGUGCCCAGAUGGGAUUAGCUAGUAGGUGGGGUAAAGGCUCACCUAGGCGACGAUCCCUAGCUGGUCUGAGAGGAUGAUCAGCACCACGGGAACUGAGACACGGUCCAGACUCCUACGGGAGGAAGCAGGGGGGAAUAUUGCACAAUGGGCGCAAGCCUGAUGCAGCCAGGCCGCGUGUAUGAAGAAGGCCUUCGGGUUGUAAAGUACUUUCAGCGGGGAGGCGUUACCCGCAGAAGAAGCACCGGCUAACUCCGUGCCAGCAGCCGCGGUAAUUC
rnacentral:rRNA from 1 species